GCGGGGGGGGGGGCGGCGGGAGACGGGGCGCGUAGGUCCUUCCGCCCCUG
rnacentral:precursor_RNA from 1 species